rnacentral:rRNA from 1 species
ACGGAGGGAGCGAGCGUUGUUCGGAUUUAUUGGGCGUAAAGGGCAUGUAGGCGGCUUUGCAAGUCGGGUGUGAAAGCCCAUCUCUUAAAGAUGGAACGGCAUUCGAAACUGCAAGGCUUGAGUUCAGGGGAAGAAAGCGGAAUUCUCGGUGUAGCGGUGAAAUGCGUAGAUAUCGAGAAGAACACCAGCGGCGUAAGCGGCUUUCUAUCCUGAAACUGACGCUGAGAUGCGAAAGCCAGGGGAGCGAACGG